CCUGAAAAGCGAACAACGAGUCUGCUGUCGAAUCACCACCGGAGGGGAAAUGAGCCGCCAUACUCCUACACUAGAAACGAGUUAAACAACUUGACAACAAAAAAUUUGGGGGAGGGGGGCGGCUGGACGGGGAAAUGGAGAGGGCGAGGGACAGAGAGAGUGAGAGAGAAGGAAAUCAUACCUUAUAUGGUUAGAUUAGAGGGGAAACACAAGAAAUAUAGCGAGUUGGAGAAGA
rnacentral:lncRNA from 1 species